CACAUGAACUAUCUUUUAUGUCUAAGGAGAAAAUAUAGCUUUAUUUUUAGCAUUCAUACAGAAAGUCAAGGCUUGAUCACAGCCAUGUGAAAGCAAAUCUAUACCAACAUCAAAUGCAUGUAGAUUCCCUUCAGAUAUUGAUGACUCUGAAACUCAUGCUAAGCUCAGGCCUACUCACAAAAAUUAAAAUACAGAAUACUAAUGCUAAUUGCAUAUUGCAGGAGGAUGCAAGUUCAUGGCUAGGCUAUCUGAGAAAAAAAAAAAAAUAAUAAUAAUGAGGUAUCUCUUCAUCUUGUCUUGCUACAUUCAGAAUGAUUUCAGGCAGACUCCUAGUUGCCUGGUGUGUAACCAUAUGAAAUGUCUAUCCUUGAUUAAUUAGUAUGGUAAAUAUUUCUUUUGAGAUUAACUCAUGCUUAUGUGCAGUAAGAGACAUUUUCCAUAUGUGAUAGAUGUCUCCUCUUGAUUUAGUAUGCUUUCCUGGCUGUUAAUCAGUUUCUAGAUAUGUUCCAAACUGGAUAACUUCUUGUUACUGAAGAAGAUAACACAUUCAAAUUAGACAUUUCUGAAAACCAGUGAUAAGUAGGUUCAUUAACAUGAUUUUCCCAUCAAUUACUGCUUGGGACUCUCUUGAUUUACACAACUAAAAAAUGCUUUGAAGAUGCUAAGCUAAGGGUAUAAAAAGGCAGUAAAACAGCAAACAGCGCGUGCGCUUCAAGAAUAAGAAAUCUCUCUGACACCAGUUGCUGAUGCGCCCAACUUACUCGAGAAGUUGAAGAGAAACAGACUGCCUCUUCGUCGCCUGUUUGGUACAGCUCUACGGAAGCUGCUCACUGGAAAAGACAGUACUUCUCUCCAAAGGCCUUUGGACAGAUCAGAAGGAAAGUGAACUUAUGACUGACUUAGGUUGGGGUGUCAAACGCACCUGGCCCCCUGGACUGGAUGAACGGCAUUGGGCCUUCCACAGGCUGGAUCAGGCCCACAGAACCUCAGCGCCGACAUGCCUGAUGCAGCACAGGCAGCACCUGCCUAGACCAGUCUAGGACACCAGCCCAAGAGAGUACCAUGGGCAGCAAAGCCUGGAACUCAACCCAAGCAAACAUCUCAGUGCACAGGCAGUGCCACUGGUAGCGCAGCCCAGGAUCCAGCU